CGAUAACGAACGAGACCUUAACCUGCUAAAUAGUCACGCAAACCUUGUGUUUGUGGCCGACUUCUUAGAGGGACUGUUGACGUUUAGUCAAUGGAAGUUUGAGGCAAUAACAGGUCUGUGAUGCCCUUAGAUGUUCUGGGCUGCACGCGCGCUACACUGAUGAAGUCAACGAGUUCACAUCCUUUAUCGGAAGAUAUGGGUAAUCUUUUGAAACUUCAUCGUGCUGGGGAUAGAGCAUUGCAAUUAUUGCUCUUAAACGAGGAAUCCCUAGUAAGCACAAGUCACCAGCUUGUGCUGAUUACGUCCCUGCCCUUUGUACACACCGCCCGUCGCUACUACCGAUUGAAUGGCU
rnacentral:rRNA from 1 species